UACGUAUUUUUACGUUCACUGUGAACAAAUCAGGACGCUUAGAGUAUGGCCACAUGAAUGACUCAGCGCAGUAUGAAGUCUUUGUUUUCUUCCGAAAACAAGCUCAAUGAGAGCCAUCGGGGGUAGAUCUAUCUCAUGACGAGUGGUGGAAUACUGUGACUCAUGAGAGAGAAGCUGAGGCGAAGGCGUCUACCUAGAGGGUUUCUGUCGAUCAAGGGCGAGAGUAGGAGUAUCCAACAGGAUUAGAGACCCUGGUAGUUCCUACCUUAAACGAUGCCGACAGGAGUUUGUCAUUUGUUAAUGGCAGAAUCUUUGGAGAAAUCAUAGUUCUUGGGCUCUGGGGGAACUACGACCGCAAGGCUGAAACUUGAAGGAAUUGACGGAAGGGCACACCAGGGGUGGAGCCUGUGGCUUAAUUUGAAUCAACACGGGGAAACUUACCAGGACCAGAUGUUUUUUAUGACUGACAGGCUUCGGGUCUUUCAGGAUAUUGUUUUUGGUGGUGCAUGGCCGUUGGUGGUGCGUGGGUUGACCUGUCUAGCGUUGAUUCAGCUAACGAGCGAGAUUAUCGCCAAUUAUUUACUUUGCCGAAGUCCUUCGGUUAAAGUUCUAAUUGGGACUCCCUGCGAUUUUAGCAGGUGGAAGAGGGUAGCAAUAACAGGUCCGUGAUGCCCUUUAGAUGCUCUGGGCUGCACGCGUGCUACAAUGUUAGGAUCAAUAGGACUGCGAGCCUGAGAGGGUGCGCUACUCUUAUAAUCCCUAACGUAGUUGGGAUUGACGUUUGUAAUCAGCGUCAUGAACCAGGAAUCCCUUGUAAAUGUG
rnacentral:ncRNA from 2 species